rnacentral:rRNA from 1 species
CCUAUGGGGCGCAGCAGGCGCGAAACCUCCGCAAUGUGAGAAAUCGCGACGGGGGGAUCCCAAGUGCCAUUCUUAACGGGAUGGCUUUUCUUUAGUGUAAAAAGCUUUUGGAAUAAGAGCUGGGCAAGACCGGUGCCAGCCGCCGCGGUAACACCGGCAGCUCUAGUGGUAGCAAUUUUUAUUGGGCCUAAAGCGUCCGUAGCCGGUUUAAUAAGUCUCUGGUGAAAUCCUGUAGCUUAACUGUGGGAAUUGCUGGAGAUACUAUUAGACUUGAGACCGGGAGAGGUUAGAGGUACUCCCAGGGUAGAGGUGAAAUUCUGUAAUCCUGGGAGGACCGCCUGUUGCGAAGGCGUCUAACUGGAACGGUUCUGACGGUGAGGGACGAAAGUUAGGGGCGCGAACCGGAUUAGAUACCCAGGUAGUCC